GACUGCUAAGCAAAAGGAGGGGAAGGUUCUGGUUGAUAAUACUAUUGGCAAUAAAAAUUCUGAUUUUUCUGAUAAAAUGGCUGGAGUAGGCCAACAGAAUGUGGAGGCUUCAUCAGUAGUGCCUGAUCAGCAGGAUGGAGUGGAUUAUAUUGUUAAUCAAGAUCCAUACUCUAAUACAACUGCUGGGAACUGGAAAAAUGGAAAGGUUUCAUCAGGACUGCCUGAAAGUGUUUCCAAUAAAGUAGUGGGUGAUAAAACUGCUAAGCAAAAGGAUGGGAAGGUUCUGGUGGAUAAUACUAUUGGCAAUGAAAAUUCUGAUUUUUCUAAUAAAAUGGCUGGAGUAGGUCCAUCAGGUGGGCCUGAAACUUCUCAAGGUGAGGCAGUUGUGGAUGGUGAAACUGGUAAGCAGCAGGAUGGAAAGGUUCAAGCUAAUGAGACUGUUGAUAAUCA
rnacentral:misc_RNA from 1 species